rnacentral:misc_RNA from 1 species
CCUACCUUUUAUUUAUCAACGUAUAGAAUUCAUUGGAUAUAUUCAAAUAGGCUUCCAUCCUAAUACAAAGGUGAUGCUUCAACAGAAAUCAGACAAGAAAAUAAGCCCACGGUUCAAAUAAACAUUUGGAUCCUAAUCUAAAACACCAAACAGCUAGCUUACUAACACAAGCUCAAGCCCAAAACGAACCCUAGCUAAGAGGGAUCUCUACUAAGGACAGAAGAUUUGGGCGCAGGGGAGGAUUGCGCCGCCAUCCUUUCCAGCUGAGCAACCGCCAGCAACAUGAGGAGCCAUAACCACCGUAGCACUGAAAGACCAUGCAAGGCCCCAGAGAUGGACAACAAAGCAAUUUGUCUAGCAUAGACAAAAAGGAUAAAAACAGAGCAUGAAUAAGCCAGAACCAUGGAUGGCUGGAGAAGGCAGGGGAUACGUGGCAUCGCUCUUGGCUCUUUCAAUCUCUUAUAGCCUUUAAGCAAUGCGAAAACCAUCACAUCGGCGACAGAAAUGUCCCCGAGAUACAAGCCUCUGAGAACGUUAAACCCAAGAAAACCAACAUACAAACCAAACUUGCAUAGCAGCCACAAAGGAGAACCAUCAAAAGACCCCAUUCAAGGAGGGGUACUAACUCUAAAUUUGGAGACUAGAGGAGCAAGACAACGAAAAAAAAAAAAGAGCAGGGG